rnacentral:rRNA from 1 species
CCUACGGGAGGCAGCAGUGGGGAAUCUUGCGCAAUGGGCGGAAGCCUGACGCAGCAACGCCGCGUGCGGGAAGAAGGCCUUAGGGUCGUAAACCGCUUUCAGGGGGGACGAAGCUUCCGGGGUUAAUAGCCUACGGGGUGACGGUACUCCCAAAAGAAGGUCCGGCUAACUACGUGCCAGCAGCCGCGGUAAUACGUAGGGACCGAGCGUUGUCCGGAAUCAUUGGGCGUAAAGAGCGUGUAGGCGGCUUGGUAGGUCUCGUGUGAAAUCCCGCGGCUCAACCGCGGAUCCGCACGGGAAACCCCUAAGCUCGAGUCCGGAAGAGGAGAGUGGAAUUCCUGGUGUAGCGGUGAAAUGCGCAGAUAUCAGGAAGAACACCCGUAGCGAAGGCGGCUCUCUGGGACGGUACUGACGCUGAGACGCGAAAGCGUGGGGAGCAAACAGGAUUAGAUACCCUGGUAGUCCACGCCGUAAACGAUGGGCGCUAGGUGUGGGAGGUGUCGACUCCUCCCGUGCCGAAGCUAACGCAUUAAGCGCCCCGCCUGGGGAGUACGGCCGCAAGGCUAAAACUUAAAUGAAUUGACGG